rnacentral:rRNA from 1 species
UACAGAGGUCUCAAGCGUUGUUCGGAUUCAUUGGGCGUAAAGGGUGCGUAGGCGGCGCGGUAAGUCGGGUGUGAAAUCUCGGAGCUUAACUCCGAAACUGCAUUCGAUACUGCCGUGCUUGAGGACUGGAGAGGAGACUGGAAUUUACGGUGUAGCGGUGAAAUGCGUAGAUAUCGUAAGGAAGACCAGUGGCGAAGGCGGUUCUCUAGUACGGUACUGACACUGAGGCACGAAAGCGUGGGUAGCAAACAGG